GAAUCUGAGCUCUACUUAUUUUCAAACAGAAGAAUCUGAGCUCUACUUAUGAAGUUAUAAGGUAAUUAUCUGAAAAAUAUCAAUUGCUCUUAAGAUUGAGAAAUCACUUAUUAACUAACAUGCCUCACAUUUGGACUUCCACCGGCUGCAUCAGAAAAAGAUAGUUUUUUAACUAAAAUUUGCAUAGGCAUUGCCAGUCAUGCAGAACCACAAAUUGAACUUCAAGUAG
rnacentral:misc_RNA from 1 species